UACGUAGGGGGCAAGCGUUGUCCGGAAUCAUUGGGCGUAAAGAGCGUGUAGGCGGCCAGACAGGUCCGUUGUGAAACUCGAGGCUCAACCUCGAGACGUCGACGGAAACCGUCUGGCUAGAGUCCGGAAGAGGAGUGUGGAAUCCGUGGUGUAGCGGUGAAAUGCGCAGAUAUCAGGAAGAACACCUAUGGCGAAGGCAGCACUCUGGGACGGUACUGACGCUGAGACGCGAAAGCGUGGGGAGCGAACCGG
rnacentral:rRNA from 1 species